CAAGUACGGUUGAGCAAUCGACAUGAUAUAUUUGCUCACAUUCCAGGCGAAGGUCAUAAUUCGCAGGAACAUUCUAUAGUCUUAGUCAGAGGAGGUAGAGUGAAAGAUUCGCCAGGUGUGAAAUCCCAUCGUAUUCGAGGAGUCAAGGAUUUGCUGGGAAUUCCGGAUCGUAGAAAGGGAAGAUCUAAAUAA
rnacentral:rRNA from 1 species